rnacentral:piRNA from 1 species
UAAAGGGAAAUGAGUUUGAACUG